rnacentral:rRNA from 1 species
AUUGAACGCUGGCGGCAGGCCUAACACAUGCAAGUCGAACGGUAACAGGAAGCAGCUUGCUGCUUUGCUGACGAGUGGCGGACGGGUGAGUAAUGUCUGGGAAACUGCCUGAUGGAGGGGGAUAACUACUGGAAACGGUAGCUAAUACCGCAUAACGUCGCAAGACCAAAGAGGGGGACCUUAGGGCCUCUUGCCAUCGGAUGUGCCCAGAUGGGAUUAGCUAGUAGGUGGGGUAACGGCUCACCUAGGCGACGAUCCCUAGCUGGUCUGAGAGGAUGACCAGCCACACUGGAACUGGGACACGGUCAAGACUCCUACGGGAGGCAGCAGUGGGGAAUAUUGCACAAUGGGCGCAAGCCUGAUGCAGCCAUGCCGCGUGUAUGAAGAAGGCCUUCGGGUUGUAAAGUACUUUCAGCGGGGAGGAAGGGAGUAAAGUUAAUACCUUUGCUCAUUGACGUUACCCGCAGAAGAAGCACCGGCUAACUCCGUG